UACGGAGGGUGCGAGCGUUGUCCGGAAUCACUGGGCGUAAAGGGCGCGUAGGCGGCCGAGCAAGGUCGCGGUGAAAGCCCGGGGCUCAACCCCGGGUCGGCCGUGGCAACUACUCGGCUCGAGCACUGUAGGGGCGGAUGGAAUUCCGGGUGUAGCGGUGGAAUGCGUAGAGAUCCGGAAGAACACCGGUGGCGAAGGCGGUGAGCUGGGCAGUUACUGACACUGAGGCGCGACAGCGUGGGGAGCAAACAGG
rnacentral:rRNA from 1 species